rnacentral:rRNA from 1 species
CCCGCACAAGCGGAGGAACAUGUGGUUUAAUUCGAUGAUACGCGAGGAACCUUACCCGGGCUUGAAAUGCAUCUGACCGGCCUUGAAAGAGGUUUUUCCCCUUCGGGGCAGAUGUGUAGGUGCUGCAUGGUUGUCGUCAGCUCGUGCCGUGAGGUGUCGGCUUAAGUGCCAUAACGAGCGCAACCCUCAUCAUUAGUUACCAUCAGGUAAGGCUGGGGACUCUAAUGAGACUGCCAUCGUAAGAUGUGAGGAAGGUGGGGAUGACGUCAAAUCAGCACGGCCCUUACGUCCGGGGCGACACACGUGUUACAAUGGGUGGUACAAAGGGCAGCUACCUGGCGACAGGAUGCUAAUCUCCAAAACCACUCUCAGUUCGGAUCGGAGUCUGCAACUCGACUCCGUGAAGCUGGAUUCGCUAGUAAUCGCGCAUCAGCCACGGCGCGGUGAAUACGUUCCCGGGCCUU